GCGCCUGUAGCUCAGCUGGAUAGAGCAGCGGACUUCUAAUCCGCAGGUCGGGGGUCCGAGUCCUCCCAGGCGCGCCA
rnacentral:tRNA from 3 species